GGGGAUUUAGCUCAGCGGCAUAAGCACCUGCAUGGCAAGCAGGCAGUUGUGAGUUCAAUCCCCG
rnacentral:tRNA from 1 species